rnacentral:rRNA from 1 species
GAUGAACGCUAGCUACAGGCUUAACACAUGCAAGUCGAGGGGCAGCACUAGGUAGCAAUACUGAGGUGGCGACCGGCGCACGGGUGCGUAACGCGUAUCCAACCUUCCCGUUACUCUUGGAUAGCCUUCCGAAAGGGAGAUUAAUACAAGAUGGUAUUCAAAUUCCGCAUGUUAUUUGAAUUAAAGAUUUAUCGGUAACGGAUGGGGAUGCGUGACAUUAGAUUGUAGGCGGGGUAACGGCCCACCUAGUCUACGAUGUCUAGGGGUUCUGAGAGGAAGGUCCCCCACACUGGAACUGAGACACGGUCCAGACUCCUACGGGAGGCAGCAGUGAGGAAUAUUGGUCAAUGGUCUGACGACUGAACCAGCCAUGCCGCGUGAAGGUGACGGCCCUAUGGGUCUUAAACUUCUUUUGUAAGGGAGCAAUAAGCGCCACGUGUGGCGUGAUGAGAGUACCUUACGAAUAAGCAUCGGCUAACUCCGUG